UACGUAGGGUCCGAGCGUUGUCCGGAAUUAUUGGGCGUAAAGAGCUCGUAGGCGGUUUGUCGCGUCUGCUGUGAAAACUCGGGGCUUAACUCCGGGCCUGCAGUGGGUACGGGCAGACUAGAGUGAUGUAGGGGAGACUGGAAUUCCUGGUGUAGCGGUGAAAUGCGCAGAUAUCAGGAGGAACACCGAUGGCGAAGGCAGGUCUCUGGGCAUUAACUGACGCUGAGGAGCGAAAGCAUGGGGAGCGAACAGG
rnacentral:rRNA from 1 species